rnacentral:rRNA from 1 species
GUGGACCCGUAAUCCGGGUUGCGGACAGUGUCUGGUGGGUAGUUUGACUGGGGCGGUCUCCUCCUAAAGAGUAACGGAGGAGCACGAAGGUUGGCUAAUCCUGGUCGGACAUCAGGAGGUUAGUGCAAUGGCAUAAGCCAGCUUGACUGCGAGCGUGACGGCGCGAGCAGGUGCGAAAGCAGGUCAUAGUGAUCCGGUGGUUCUGAAUGGAAGGGCCAUCGCUCAACGGAUAAAAGGUACUCCGGGGAUAACAGGCUGAUACCGCCCAAGAGUUCAUAUCGACGGCGGUGUUUGGCACCUCGAUGUCGGCUCAUCACAUCCUGGGGCUGAAGUAGGUCCCAAGGGUAUGGCUGUUCGCCAUUUAAAGUGGUACGCGAGCUGGGUUUAGAACGUCGUGAGACAGUUCGGUCCCUAUCUGCCGUGGGCGCUGGAGAACUGAGGGGGGCUGCUCCUAGUACGAGAGGACCGGAGUGGACGCAUCACUGGUGUUCGGGUUGUCAUGCCAAUGGCACUGCCCGGUAGCUAAAUGCGGAAGAGAUAAGUGCUGAAAGCAUCUAAGCACGAAACUUGCCCCGA